ACUCCUACGGGAGGCAGCAGUGGGGAAUAUUGGACAAUGGGCGCAAGCCUGAUCCAGCCAUGCCGCGUGAGUGAUGAAGGCCCUAGGGUUGUAAAGCUCUUUCACCGGUGAAGAUAAUGACGGUAACCGGAGAAGAAGCCCCGGCUAACUUCGUGCCAGCAGCCGCGGUCAUACGAAGGGGGCUAGCGUUGUUCGGAUUUACUGGGCGUAAAGCGCACGUAGGCGGACUAUUAAGUCAGGGGUGAAAUCCCGGGGCUCAACCCCGGAACUGGCUUUGAUACUGGUAAUCUUGAGUUCGAGAGAGGUGAGUGGAAUUCCGAGUGGAGGGGUUAAAUUCGUAGAUAUUCGGAGGAACACCAGUGGCGGAGGCGGCUCUCUUGCUCGAUACUGACGCUGAGGUGCGAAAGCGUGGGGAGCAAACAGGAUUAGAAACCCCUGUAGUCCC
rnacentral:rRNA from 1 species